UAAGAGUCAUUCUCUGUAAGGACCACAGAUGCCGUUCAAACGAAUACCACAGAUUUUAAUAAAACAUAUAUGAAAAAAUUAUGAAUGUGUAUGAGAUUAAUUAGAUAUAUUUAAAAUUUUGGGAUGUGACCUAUCCUCCAGGUUAUGGCCCCCUAACACAUUUUGUGGCUACUCCCAUGUUUGAAAAGGUCAGUUUUCUCCUAAUUUGACAUAAAAAAUUCAAAAUAAAUAAUGCAUUAUGGUUGGAUUAAGUGCAUUAAAUUGUGAAAACAAGGUGUGAAGUAAAGAUAAAAAAUUAUUUUGCUUCAUCACUAACACCCCUUUUUGUUUUAAAGAAAUUUAAUUUCCUCCCAUUUUUAACCCUUAACCAACACGCUAAAUAACCAUAAUUUCAGUGCCAUUUUAUAAAAAAUCCCAAGAUAGGUUUAUAAAAUAUUAACAAUUUUUUGAAAGCAAACAUACUUGAUUAUUUAUUCAUAAUUAUUCUGGAUGUGUGUUUUUUGAUUUAAAAAAAUAAAAUGCAUUUGAAAAUAUUAAAAAACUAGCAUUUCACAAAAAUAUUAUCUCCCUUUGUAGAACUCUCUAGUUCCGACAGUGAAAGAAGGUAAAAACAAAAGUAUUUGUAAGCAUGACGUUUUGCCGGUUUGGAGUUCCUUUUCACAAACCAUGUGUUUUACUGAUAUUUUUAUACAAAACUGCUUAGAUUAUACAGUAUAGCUUCCUUGGCAGAUGUGAUAUUGUUUAUUCUGAAGACAUUCAACAACUCGUGAAUUUCAGCAAUGGCCAUGUAUUGUCUGAAGUAGGUCGUAUGCCAUGUGUUAGUGUGUUACACUUGCUAAAUACAGUGAAUGACUAUCGAAUGUGGACGUUAUUUUAACUUUUCUUCAAAAUGAAAUACAAAGAGGUCAAGAAGGAAGUUAUGUCAAAUUCCAAACCUUCUAAGUUCCCACCUACAUAUUGAAAACACCAGAGGAGAUGGACCGAGAACUCCCCUCCAAACAGAACAUGUGAAAAUGUGAAAGCAGGUCAUUUGAUUGGCCAAGCUGGUGCAACGCUACCAGUGUUAUACACCAUGCAUGUACACCAUGCUGCUGUGUGACCAUGUGAGGGGCAUCACAAGGAAGGGGAAGAUAUUUAGAUCAUUCAUGGAGAUUUCAACAUCGUAUUAAAACCAAAUCAUAAAGAGAACUCAAGAAGCCAGAGUUUUACAUUUAGUCAUGACAAGUCAUGACAUUCAGCAAAUGAAUCUUUAUCUGAUGAAAAUUAGUGAGAGUUUUCAGAGAAUGGGAGAUACCGGUGGGACACCUACACUAAGUCUGCUAAAUUAUUCUACAACAAUAUAAUGACAAAACUGACUGCUGUUAUUCUCUCAAAGAACAUCAAAGAAAGAGUGAAGAGUCUUACAGUAUCUGAAGAAAAUCCAAGUCUUGCCUAAUAUUAUACCUGAGGGAAGUGUUGACCACUUAUCCUGAAGUUAUUCAUGCAUAAUAACAUGGGUCCACUAUGCACUACUUUGAAUAUGUUUCAAAUAAUUUUUUAAAAAGAUUUUUAAAAGUGUAUAAACAGUAGUCUCAUUGCAUGUAAAAUGAUAAUUAGAUCCUUUGUUACAAUUAUUGAAUUUUUAAAAAUUGACAGAAAAAUGAAAAAUUAAAGAAAUCUAUGUCAAAAGUGUCUAUUAUUAUUUUUAAGGCUUAAGGAUAACGUUUACUUGGAUGACAAAAAUAUUAAUUGAUAAGAGCGAAAAACCACCUAUUGUACAUCUAUGUA